AGGAGCAAAGCAGGGGAACUUCGGUCCUUGCGCUAUCGGAUGAACCCAUAUGGGAUUAGCUAGUAGGUGAGGUAAUGGCUCACCUAGGCGACGAUCCCUAGCUGGUCUGAGAGGAUGAUCAGCCACACUGGGACUGAGACACGGCCCAGACUCCUACGGGAGGCAGCAGUGGGGAAUAUUGCACAAUGGGCGCAAGCCUGAUGCAGCCAUGCCGCGUGUAUGAAGAAGGCCCUAGGGUUGUAAAGUACUUUCAGUCGGGAGGAAGGCGUUGAUGCUAAUAUCAUCA
rnacentral:rRNA from 1 species